rnacentral:rRNA from 1 species
AACGAACGCUGGCGGCAGGCCUAACACAUGCAAGUCGAACGCUCCGCAAGGGGAGUGGCGCACGGGUGAGUAACACGUGGGAACCUACCUUCUGGUACGGAACAACCAAGGGAAACUUUGGCUAAGACCGUAUACGACCUCCGGGUGAAAGAUUGAUCGCCGGAAGAGGGGCCCGCGUCCGAUUAGGUAGUUGGUGAGGUAACGGCUCACCAAGCCUUCGAUCGGUAGCUGGUCUGAGAGGAUGACCAGCCACACUGGGACUGAGACACGGCCCAGACUCCUACGGGAGGCAGCAGUGGGGAAUAUUGGACAAUGGGCGCAAGCCUGAUCCAGCGAUGCCGCGUGUGUGAAGAAGGCCUGCGGGUUGUAAAGCACUUUCAGUAGGGAAGAAAAGCCGAGUGCUAAUAUCACUCGGUCUUGACGUUACUUACAGAAGAAGCACCGGCUAACUCCGUGCCAGCAGCCGCCGUAAU